CUUAGUGCUAAAUGCAUUAACAGGAAAUGGCAACGGCUUCAAAACAGGAAAUACAGAGCUUGUCACAGCGCCUGUCCCAGGAAUUAAUGCUAGUCCAUCCAUCACUAAUUUAGCCAUCCUUCCAACCAUCCAUCCAAUCAUCCUUCCACUUCUCCAUCCAUCCAUCCAUCCAUCCUUCCACUUAUCAAUCCAACCAUCCAUUUGCAGGGAGGGGCUGUUCAACCGGCCGGUCCAGUGGGCAUCAAGCUGGAGGAUGGUUUGUGGAAUCCUCGUCAUGAGAGCUCUGGGGCGGCUGAGCAGGGCAGGGGAGGCCAGGCCUGAAUCGGGCCCCAUCUUUCCGGGUCCAAAUCUGACCUUGGACGCUUCCCAGCGGGGUGACCCUGAAUGAGUCCCCCAGCCCUUCCGGCCUCUGCUCCCUUCUCUCUGAAAUGAGUUGGAGAAGGAAAUGACAAACCAGUCCCGUAUCUCCCGUGAAAAUCCCCGAGGGGGCCGUGAAGAGCUGGACGGGACUGAAAAACGACCGACCCACCAGAGUGGCCUUUGGGGAGUUGACAUCACUGACUGUGCUUCGAUCUAAAUUAGCCACUUCUUUGUGUAUCCACUUCCCGGGGCCCGAAGGCUGAUUCCCCUCCCCACUGUCCCCAAGGAGAGGAUGUCUAACCCGCCCUGGCCCGUGUGGGCUUCCACGAGUCUGGCAGGAAUGGGCGUGCAAGCAGGACAUGGGCUUUAAGAGACCAUAUAUAAGCUCGGAGCCUCAGCCAGGAUUCAGGCCCGGAGGGUCAGAAGCCAGAGAAGGAGGCGGGAGCUCUCGGAAACAAGGAGAGAGAUGGGCCCCAAGUGAAGGAGACCGGCCUUGGAAGGAGACAAUAAAGGAUUUGGACUUUAGCCCCUGGCUGCACUGGGAGUGAUUGCUGAUCUGGAAGGAAGGCUGCUCCCAGAGACCCCCAGGAAACAGAAACGGGAACGUCACAUGUUAGAGAGAACGUUACCCGUUUCAUGACGUCGGAGGUCGGGAGACUUCAACGAGAAACAACGGCA
rnacentral:lncRNA from 1 species